AUGGGUCCCUUCCCCUGCAGUCUGCGGGUCUUAGCUGUGUGUUCAGAGCGCACUUCCUCCUGCCAUCUCAGACCUCAGAUUUUCUCUGUGAUUAGAAUACCCCGUGUUCAGCCACCUCUCUGGACAAGAGCUUGCAGAAUGCUGCUCCUGCUACCAGGCAUCCUGGUGGCCUCCCUGUGGACGUAUACAUGCGGAGACAAUCUUAUAACACAACUUGUAACAUCCGUCACCAAGAAAAAAGGAAAUACAGCAUUUCUUGAAUGCCAGAUAAAAUCCAGUACCUUCAAGAAGAAUGUGUGUAUACACUGGUACCACCAGAAGCCAGACCAGCCCCUAAAGCGAAUUCUGUAUAUCUCCUCAAAUGAAAAUGUAGUCCAUGAACAAGGUGUUAGUGAGGAAAGAUAUGAAGCAAGGAAAUGGCAAAGUGACUUGUCCUCCAGCCUGAGAAUACACCGAGUUGCCGAGGAGGAUGCAGGGAUAUAUUACUGUGCCUGCUGGGACACACUCUAUCAAAAUGCUCCACUGUAACUGAACAAAAAUGCCUCCCACGCCCGCUGCACCUGUGCAAACACACACCCCCUCUUUUCUGCCUCCUAGAGGCACCUGGCUGCUGACCACAGAGCACUUUUCUCUGGUGCAUGUGUCCUGAGCAAAGUCUGAGCACAAGCCCAAGGGCCCAACCUCUGAUGCUCCUUUCAAUGAGAAACUUUAUCGUCCAACCUCACCCCUUGGGAGCCUGGGCUGGCUUUUGGGCUGGUUAAUUGACUUUGAAUGAAUGAAAGAGUGCUGGAAAAUACAAGGCCUUUUGAGUAACAUAGACAUGGAUUUCAAAUUCCUGCCGGGCCACUUACUGACAGUGUGAUCUAGGAAAGGUCUUAAUGCCUUUUCAUUCUGUUUAUUCAGCUUCUGGUGGGGCUAGCAUUAGUCACCUCAUAGAGUCGCUGAGGUCUAAAUGAGCCUCCAUAUACGAAAGCUUCUGACAUAGCACUCAACAAAUCACUUCCUUUGUGUCCUUUCCCUUCUGACUAAAUCACUGAGCUAUCUCAGCUAAAAUAGCCAUGUGUAGAAACUUAAAAACAGGCCAGGCACGGUGGCUCGCACCUGUAAUCUCAGGUGUGAGUAUUGGAGGUCAGGGUGGAAGGAUUGCUUGAGGCCGGAGUUUGAGACCAGUUCGGGCGACAUAGUGAGACCUUGUCUCUAAAAAACAUACAAAAAUUAGCUGGAUGUGGAAGUAGUCACUUGUAGCCCUAGCUAUUUGGAAGGCGAAGGUGGGAGGGUCACUUGAGCCCACGAAUUCGAGGCUGCAGUGUGCUAUGAUGGUGCCACUGCAUUCCAGCCUGGGUGACAGAGCUAGACCUUGUCUCUAAAUAAAUAAAUAUAAAAUCUUAUAUUGUCCCCUAAACAACAGUAAAUUAUAACUUUAAUUCUGAAAAACUAAAAAUUAUGCAUGGGAAAAGAGUGGAAGGUAAUAAACCAAAAACAUUUUUUUCCUCCAAAAUUUUGCUUCAGUCACAAUAGGGUAUAACAGCCCAGUGUCUAAAGCAAUAACCACAUGAAUUGUUAAUAUUUAUCACACUGUGAAGUUUGGGGACAUUUCCAAUCUAUAAAAUGUACAUAGUACUGCAAGAGGUUGUGAAAUUAUAAUAUCGUUUGUUACCAUACACAGUGAUUAUACUUUUCCUCCAAUACUCAUGAUACUGCAUAGCUACCCACAACUCUGACAAAAUAUGGCCAAAAUGGGAGUGGAGAAAGAGGUCAAAGAUAGACCUAUUUAAAGUAACACUUAAAAAAACAAUAGGAGGGAAUUACUCCAAAGGGGAAGUUAACAUUGACUUAUUAUUACAGAAGUGUUUUCACGAGAUCUUCUUGGAUUUGAUAGUUUCUUUACACCAGAACAUGACAAAUACCACUUCAACAGAGAUCUCCCUGUGAAGGACUUUCAUUGGUUUUAAAACAAACCUUUCCCUCCCUGUCACAGAGCAACAGCUGCCACUACAUCUUCAGUCCUAAUCUGUGCUCCCUUGUAGCGUCUACUCUGACUAGCCACUGGCAAUGUCAACCUCAUGGGUUUUUCUUGUGUCUUUGGCUUGGGUUUGUAGGUUGACUUUACUCCUUUCUUGUCUUUUCAUAAUUUUUGUGUCCACAGUCAUCUGUUUUCAGUGCCUCUCAUUUCUCUUCCUUGUUUUUCAGAUGGAGACACCAAAAUGAGAAUAUCUCAGGAUCAACUCUCCUCCACACGCAGACAAGACAGAACAGUGCACAUAAGGUGCAAGCUAUCUGGGGUUCUUCUCGAGAAGACCGUUGUGCACUGGUAUCAACAAAAAGAAGGGAAGCCCCUGAGACGAAUCCUUUAUGGCUCAGCCAAAAAUUACAAGCAAGACAGGCCCAAUCCCCGCUUGGAGGCAGAUGAUAAACAUGAUGGUAUUUUUUACCUGAUCAUUAACAAUGUUGCCAAGUUGGAUGAAGCCACUUACUACUGUGCCUGCUGGGAUCUCACAAUGUCACAGAGUCAGAAGGGACCUGAAAGAAAACCUUCCUGUGACCACCCCCUGACUGCUUUCAUACUCCUGCGACCACAACAGACUCCUUAAUGCUCUUGUUCAUUGGUUCAUAGGCUGUUUGAACAGGGAGGGCCCUUGGAACAUAUUUAGCCCAAUGUCCCCACUUCAAAUGAGGAAACUGGGGGCACAGAGACAGCAAGUGACUUGUCUCAAGCUAGUUAACCACAGAGGUAGGGCCACACUCUUGCAUUUCAGAUUCUCAGUCCAGUGCCUCUUCCUGCCUCUCUUGUGGUCUGUGUUGAACUUCUUUCAGCAGAAUCACAUUUCUUUCAAAAGGGAACUGUGACAACUUCCCUAUGCGUCGUCUUCCUCAGUGGUACCCCUAGGCCCCAAUUAACUCUGAUAUCGGCCAAACAUGUAACUACCACACUGCUGAGAAGGGGACAAAGGUCAGCAGGGAUGGACUCCACACUCCAUCUACCCACGUUGUCUUCCCAUAGCUAUUUACUGCCCUUUGUUUCUAUAGCUUCCUAUCUGUUCUGAAAUCCCUACUAAUCAGAGCAGUUUCCCUGGUAUGCCCAUCACACAUAUGGGCAAGUGGGAAGUAGAGAUUAACUUUUCUUCUGACUACAUUAGUAAAUUCUUAUAAUAGAAGUGCCUGCUGAACCAAGGCUGGAAUUUCCUACUCUUCACUCUGAAACCUGGAACCAAUCCUAAUUGGCUGGCCACACACUUGUUUCAAAUUGGGUAGCCCUGGCUUGCUUUCUGCUCUCUUAGAGUGACCUAGGCCUUGUUCAUGUCCAAGGCCUUACCAGCCACACCUAGAAAAUAGCAAGAACAAUAGUAGCAACCAUAUCUAUAUCAUUACAUUAUAGCUCAGUACCUCUCUUUUUGGAUGUCUGACAAGUAGCCAAAAAAUUAUUGAUUCCAAUUCCACUCCCUUCCCCCAAUCUCCAAGCAUGUAUUAUUUUCCUCACCAGACUUUCCUAUUGCAGUAAAUGGCAACAGUAUAUUGUAUCAUCUGAUGCAAUGGCAAGGGUUUUUUCUCAAGCAGAUAGUGUUUUGUUGACUUCCGUGUUUUUUUGUUUCUCCUGGUAAUGAGAGAAGAGUGAGGAGACCCAACUAUUAUGGAGUUUCCUGUGAUAUGAGAUCUGAAGGGAGGUUAUAGGACCUCUGGAAACUGGUUUCACCUGCCAGAAAGACACCCACAAACCAGGCCCAACCUGUGUGGCCCAAUCUGAGACUGGAGUAGGCUGUCUCAACAGAGCCCCCGACUGAAACACUCCGGACCCAAUGUAGAGAACACCUAGUCUUCUAACUUACUGCAGGUUUAGAAACUCUUUGUGUUCCCCCUGACAUGUACAGGGCAACAGGCCAGCCAUGACAGCAAUGAUUGUCAUUCUGAAGUGCAUGGCUCAAAUGGCCUCAUGGAUGUUAUAAUCUCCUGGUGUCACUGAAAGACAAAUACAAAGAAAAUAAAUUGUGAGAUAUAAUUUGAUAUUCAGAUUCAACUAGUCCCACUCCUCACAGAUUAUUUUGCUAGGUGCUGGCACUGCCUACUCAUUGCUUUUUAGAAUAUGCAAAUCAGCCAUUUCAUCUGCUUUUUAUUUCAUUUGAUAUGCUCUGUGCUUCCUAGAAAGCAAUACCCAGCAUCCUUUAUAUGGCCAUUUGAGAUACAGAUUCUCUGUAUUAUACAGACCUAGACUAUACCUGGGAACUGCGUUCCUUACACAUAUCUUUCCAAGUAAUUGAUGAACAGGGUUUGGGAUCCGGAAAAUUUGCACUGAAAUCCUGGCUCAGUUUCAACUCCCUAAUUCUGUUUCCUCACAUGACUUUUAAUAGUAAUAACCAUUUAUAGGGUAAGGCAGAAAGAGAGAAAUGCAUAAUUGGUGCCUGACUCACGGUAGACACUAUAUUUAUGAGUUUUCUUCUCUUUCACUAUCAAAAAGCACAAGGCCAUGGAUUGUCAUCCUGGAGCAGGGGGAAGGGAAGCGAAAAGGAGAUUUGGGGCUUAGAGUAGAAUAUUAAUUUCCCAAGACAUUCUUCCAGACACGAGUCUUUUUAUGCAAACAUUUCUUGUUUGUCAAAAAGAAACAAGUGUUUCACCAGGCAUGUUGCCUGUGGGAGCAGUAUCAGUUGAAAAGCGUCUAUAAUAUGCAUAGUGGCAUGUUAAAUACCCCAAGUGCAAAAGAAACCCUAAAAGACUAAAUCAUCAGGUUAAGAAUGAAGGCAAGUGGCACAAUUGCUAAAAGGGAGACUGAUUGAAAGUGCAGUGACCUGGCCUCUCCCAAACACUGCCCCGGUGUUUUCAGAAACAAGUAAAGAUCCACUGGACUAUAUCGUAACAUAUCUGAUAUCAUCUAAGUGAUGACAUAUGUGAAAUCAAAUUAUGCUAAUUUUUGAAAGUUAGUGGUCCACAGAUGGUCAGUAUGUGAUUUUUUUAUCUCUUGUACAUGUCAGAUAAUGUGUUUAUUUUGCUUCAGACAGUGGUCUCUCUUGGAAGUGUCUUAACUUACUUCUGUACCUGAUUUAAUUAAGAUCCAUUAAAAUUUCUAAAAGACAAAUCAAUGUGAAAAAUAGUGCAAAUUAUUAUUUUGGUUCAUGUUGGCCACCAAACCCUGAAAUGAAAUGUGAGAUAUGUCUUCAUAUCUUUUGAUGGCCAAACAAAUUUGGUUGAAGCUGUUCUCUAUGAAAGUUAUUAUCAUCAAAUUUGAAAAAGUGAUGCAAAACUUCAAGCAAUGCAGUGCCAACUUGUGCUUUACCUCACUUGACUUACUUGUUAUUUAUGUAUUUGUUCAUUCAUAACCCAUCUUCUUGGAAGCAGGAUUUAAGUUGCCUCAGUUUGUUAACUCAAGACAUGACAGAUAU
ensembl:lncRNA